rnacentral:rRNA from 1 species
GCUUGUCUCAAAGAUUAAGCCAUGCAUGUCUAAGUGUAAAUACGUCUACACUGUGAAACUGCGAAUGGCUCAUUAAAUCAGUUAUCGUUUAUUUGAUGAUCUCUUGUUACAUGGAUAACCGUAGUAAUUCUAGAGCUAAUACAUGCGUCAAGCCCCGACUCACGAAGGGGUGUAUUUAUUAGAUUUAAGGCCAACCGAGCUUGCUCGUCUCUUGGUGAAUCAUGAUAACUUCACGAAUCGCAUGGCCUCGCGCCGGCGAUAUUUCAUUCAAAUUUCUGCCCUAUCAAUUGGCGAUGGUAGGAUAGAGGCCUACCAUGGUGUUAACGGGUGACGGGGGAUUAGGGUUCGAUUCCGGAGAGGCAGCCUGAGAAACGGCUACCACAUCCAAGGAAGGCAGCAGG